GAUGAAGAACGCAGCGAAAUGCGAUAAGUAGUGUGAAUUGCAGAAUUCAGUGAAUCAUCGAAUCUUUGAACGCACAUUGCGCCCUUUGGUAUUCCUUAGGGCAUGCCUGUUCGAGCGUCAUUUAAACCUUCAAGCUAAGCUUGGUGUUGGGUGACUGUCCGCUUCACGGCGGACUCGCCUCAAAAUUAUUGGCGGCCGGUACAUUGGCUUCGAGCGCAGCAGAAACGCGAACUCGGGCCCGUCGUAUUGGCUCCCAGAAGCUAUCUUCACAAUUUUGACCUCGGAUCAGGUAGGGAUACCCGCUGAACUUAAGCAUAUCAAUAAGCGGACGA
rnacentral:misc_RNA from 1 species